GGUAAACGCUGGCGGCGUGCUUAACACAUGCAAGUCGAACGGUAAGGCCCUUCGGGGUACACGAGUGGCGAACGGGUGAGUAACACGUGGGUGAUCUGCCCUGCACUUCGGGAUAAGCCUGGGAAACUGGGUCUAAUACCGGAUAGGACCACUGCCUGCAUGGGUGGUGGUGGAAAGCUUUUGCGGUGUGGGAUGGGCCCGCGGCCUAUCAGCUUGUGGGUGGGGUGAUGGCCUACCAAGGCGACGACGGGUAGCCGGCCUGAGAGGGUGACCGGGCACACUGGGACUGCGCUACGGCCCAGACUCCUACGGGAGGCAGCAGUGGGGAAUAUUGCACAAUGGGCGCAAGCCUGAUGCAGCGACGCCGCGUGAGGGAUGACGGCCUUCGGGUUGUAAACCUCUUUCAGCACCGACGAAGCGCAAGUGACGGUAGGUGCAGAAGAAGGACCGGCCAACUACGUGCCAGCCGCCGCUGUAA
rnacentral:rRNA from 1 species